rnacentral:rRNA from 1 species
GGCGGACGGGUGAGUAACGCGUAGGAAUCUACCUAGUAGAAGGGGAUAGCCCGGGGAAACCCGGAUUAAUACCGUAUACCUCCUUCGGGAGAAAGAAGGCCUCUCUUUGAAGCUUUCGCUAUUAGAUGAGCCUGCGUAAGAUUAGCUUGUUGGUGAGGUAAAGGCUCACCAAGGCGACGAUCUUUAGCUGGUCUGAGAGGACGAUCAGCCACAUUGGGACUGAGACACGGCCCAGACUCCUACGGGAGGCAGCAGUGGGGAAUAUUGGACAAUGGGCGCAAGCCUGAUCCAGCCAUACCGCGUGUGUGAAGAAGGCCUUCGGGUUGUAAAGCACUUUAAGCAGGGAGAAAAAGUUAUAAGUUAAUACCUUAUAACCGUGAUGUUACCUGCAGAAUAAGCACCGGCUAAUUCCGUGCCAGCAGCCGCGGUAAUACGGAAGGUGCAAGCGUUAAUCGGAAUUACUGGGCGUAAAGCGCGCGUAGGUGGUUUGUUAAGUUGGAUGUGAAAGCCCUGGGCUCAACCUAGGAACUGCAUCCAAAACUAACUCACUAGAGUACGAUAGAGGGAGGUAGAAUUCAUAGUGUAGCGGUGGAAUGCGUAGAUAUUAUGAAGAAUACCAGUGGCGAAGGCGGCCUCCUGGAUCUGUACUGACACUGAGGUGCGAAAGCGUGGGUAGCGAACAGGAUUAGAUACCCUGGUAGUCCACGCCGUAAACGAUGACAACUAGCUGUUGGAAGACAACGUCUUUCAGUGGCGCAGCUAACGUUUUAAGUUGUC